UACCCAACAGCUAGCCCGACCCCCUAAAACAAACAUAGCCCUUAUUUAUAAGCCCGCACCCCCUAAUACAAACCCACCAAAUCAUUUUCCCCCUUAAGUACGGGAGACAGAAAGAGACCCAGGAGCAAUAAAGCAAGUACCGCAAGGGAAGGCUGAAAAAGAAAUGAAAAACUCAAUUAAGAACUGAAAGCAGAGAUAUCACCUCGUACCUUUUGCAUCAUGAUUUAGCCAGUAACACCCAAGCAAAGAGAACUUUAGUUUGACCCCCCGAAACUAAGUGAGCUACUCCAAGACAGCCUAUUAUAGGGCCAACCCUUCUCUGUGGCAAAAGAGUGGGAAGAGCUUCGAGUAGAGGCGACAAACCUAUCGAACUUAGUGAUAGCUGGUUGCCUGAAAAAUGGAUAGAAGUUCAGCCAUUUGGAUUCACACCUUCCUACCUGUAAUCAACCCAGUCGAUUAAAUGAAGCCAAAAGAGUUAGUUAAUGGAGGUACAGCUCCCUUAAAUAAAGAAACAACUUUCCCAGGAGGAUACAGAUCAUACGCACAAAGGACCCCCGUCUUAGUGGGCCCAAAAGCAGCCACCUACAUGAAAAGCGUUAAAGCUUAAACGUCCUCUGCCCCCAAUGAUUCCGACAAAUUUAUCCUAACCCCUGUUUUUUAUCAGGCCGCCCCAUGCCUCCAUGGGGGCGUCCAUGCUAAUAUGAGUAAUAAGAGGGCCCCGGCCCUCUCCCUACGCACACGUGUAAGUCGGAACGAACCAACACCGAACAUUAACGGCCCCAAACAGCAGAGAGAACUGGGUCUCAUAAAAAAGACAAGAAAAACACCCCCUAACAACCGUUAACCCCACACCGGUGUGCCUGCCAGGAAAGACUAAAUGGAAGAGAAGGAACUCGGCAAACCUAAGCCUCGCCUGUUUACCAAAAACAUCGCCUCUUGCAACUGAUGAAUAAGAGGUCCUGCCUGCCCUGUGACUAUAUGUUUAACGGCCGCGGUAUUUUGACCGUGCGAAGGUAGCGCAAUCACUUGUCUUUUAAAUGAAGACCUGUAUGAAUGGCAAGACGAGGGCUUAACUGUCUCCUCUCCCAGGUCAAUGAAACUGAUCUCCCCGUGCAGAAGCGGGGAUGCCCCCAUAAGACGAGAAGACCCUAUGGAGCUUUAGAUACAAGGUAGGCCAUGUUAAAGACCUCUUGAUAAAGAAGAAAACAAACUGGACCUCUACCUAAAUGUCUUUGGUUGGGGCGACCGCGGGGAAACACAAAACCCCCAUGUGGAGUGGGAUUACUAAUCCUGCAACCGAGAGCUCCCGCUCUAAGUACCAGAACAUCUGGCCAAACAGAUCCGGCAAUGCCGAUCAACGAACCGAGUUACCCUAGGGAUAACAGCGCAAUCCUCUUCUAGAGCCCAUAUCGACAAGGGGGUUUACGACCUCGAUGUUGGAUCAGGACAUCCUAAUGGUGCAGCCGCUAUUAAGGGUUCGUUUGUUCAACGAUUAAUAGUCCUACGUGAUCUGAGUUCAGACCGGAGUAAUCCAGGUCAGUUUCUAUCUAUGUAGUGCUCUUUUCUAGUACGAAAGGACCGAAAAGAGGGGGCCAAUGCCUGAGGCAAGCCCCACCCCCACUUAAUGCAGCCAACUAAAUUAAGUAAGGGGGCACAGACUCAUGCCAAAAAGCAUGGCAU
rnacentral:rRNA from 1 species